rnacentral:rRNA from 1 species
AUGACGAGAAGCUUGCUUCUCUGAUUUAGCGGCGGACGGGUGAGUAACACGGUGGGCAACCUGCCCUACAGAUCGGGAUAACUCAGGGAAACCUGGGCUAAUACCGGAUAAUCCUUCGAAUCACAUGUUUUGAAGUUGAAAGGCGCUUCGGCGUCACUGUAGGAUGGGCCCGCGGUGCAUUAGCUAGUUGGUGGGGUAACGGCCUACCAAGGCAACGAUGCAUAGCCGACCUGAGAGGGUGAUCGGCCACAUUGGGACUGAGACACGGCCCAAACUCCUACGGGAGGCAGCAGUAGGGAAUCUUCCACAAUGGACGAAAGUCUGAUGGAGCAACGCCGCGUGAGUGAUGAAGGUUUUCGGAUCGUAAAACUCUGUUGUAAGGGAAGAACAAGUACGUUAGGAAAUGAACGUACCUUGACGGUACCUUAUUAGAAAGCCACGGCUAACUACGUGCCAGCAGCCGCGGUAAUACGUAGGUGGCAAGCGUUGUCCGGAUUUAUUGGGCGUAAAGCGCGCGCAGGUGGUUUCUUAAGUCUGAUGUGAAAGCCCACGGCUCAACCGUGGAGGGUCAUUGGAAACUGGGGAACUUGAGUGCAGAAGAGGAUAGUGGAAUUCCAAGUGUAGCGGUGAAAUGCGUAGAGAUUUGGAGGAACACCAGUGGCGAAGGCGACUGUCUGGUCUGUAACUGACACUGAGGCGCGAAAGCGUGGGGAGCAAACAG